rnacentral:sRNA from 1 species
CCUUAGCCCUGAUAGAAGUGGAAAUCCUUUUGUGGAGCUUUAGCGGAACAAAAGAUUGAAACGGAUAGCAGGAAACAGC